GUGGCUAAGUGGGUUAAGCAUCUGAUUUCAGCUCAGGUCAUGAUCUCAGGGUCCUGGGAUCAAGUCCCAGC
rnacentral:tRNA from 1 species